GGAGGGGCAAUAGCUCAGGGGCAGAGCAUCUGUUUAGCAUGCAGAAGGUUCCAGGUUCAGUCCCAGACAUCUUCU
rnacentral:tRNA from 1 species